UCUCUCAAGCUUGUUGAGGUUUCAGAGCC
rnacentral:piRNA from 1 species